rnacentral:tRNA from 1 species
AGCCCCGUGGUGUACCACACAUGAGAUUGCAAAUCUCAAGAAGCGAGAUAAGACUCGCCGGGGCUU